GGAUCUUGGAAGAACACAAAGAUAGCUUCUCAACUUGAGUGGGCCAGAGACAACUCCAGGGAUCUCAAUGCAAUCCUGCUUCUGGAUGGGACAAAGAAGGCAUCAGCCGCACAGGAGAAAAUCACAGCUGUCCUUUCAUUCUGUUCAAGCACACAUGAAGCUCCUUCUAGGUUCAUCCACUGUGUGCCAAACACCUGGGACAGUCAGAGAAGAAUAAUGAUGCCAGCCUUCUAAGAGCUGGCAGACCAGUGAGAGAGCAGGCUCAAGACAUGGCAGAGUCAAACACAGACAGAAAGCUAUGGUAUCUCAGAGGAAGAUGAUGAGAUUUGGAAAGCUCCCAGAGAAGAUGGGACUGGAGCUGGGCUGCUUAGCACUGAAACAGUGGAUUUGGGGAGAAUAUUUGCAUGCAAGUAAAAUAUGCAAAAGAUGUUCAAAGAACAACCAAAAGUGGUAGAAAUGUGGAGUGAGAAAUACUGAAAUGUCCACAGCUCAGGAAAACAUGUUUUCCAACCAGCAUCCCUGACCAUUCCCCCUUCCCCAGGUCUAGGGCAUCUAGAGCACCAAAAUUACCAGCAACUCUCAUCUUUCCUGACCCCUCCUUACUUCACUUUUGAUCUAAAAGUACAUUCCGGCCUCAUCUAACCAUUUAAAAAGCC
rnacentral:lncRNA from 1 species